CUUUCUUAAUUCUUCCCUGAAAGAAGGUUAACCAUACUGGCAAGAGCCCUAAAGAGACAAGCAGGAAAUUUGUCUUAUCCAUUUUAAAUGCCUGUUAUGAAAGAGGUGAAAAAAAUGCUAUUGAUAAAAGUUUUUUUCUGGGAACCUUUUGGCAUCUUCUCAGUGAUGCGUCAUUUCCACUCAGCCAUUUGACAAGAAACACAAUGUUCCAACUUGUUUGCAUGUCUGAAGUGAAGUGGUCCAUGGGGCAGUGCUGUAAAAUAUACAUCAAUUCCAUUCCUCUUUGCUCCUCCCACUCCUCUGGAAGAGGUGGACAGACAGCAUUAUUUCCUGAGGGGUGGGGGAGAACAAAAAUGGAGAAGUGCAGUGCAAAGUCAGCACAAGAGACAGCAGGACAAAGUAACAGAUCAUGCUUUAGCAAAAGCAUCCUAUAAGUAAACGAUGAAAAAUUAUGGAACAAAUAGUAGAAAAUGUGAAGAGCUCCCUAUAUUUCUAAAGAAUGCAGAUUGAAAGAACAUCUUCAAUAAAGGACAAG